GACGAACGCUGGCGGCGUGCCUAAUACAUGCAAGUCGAACGCUUCUUUCCUCCCGAGUGCUUGCACUCAAUUGGAAAGAGGAGUGGCGGACGGGUGAGUAACACGUGGGUAACCUACCCAUCAGAGGGGGAUAACACUUGGAAACAGGUGCUAAUACCGCAUAACAGUUUAUGCCGCAUGGCAUAAGAGUGAAAGGCGCUUUCGGGUGUCGCUGAUGGAUGGACCCGCGGUGCAUUAGCUAGUUGGUGAGGUAACGGCUCACCAAGGCCACGAUGCAUAGCCGACCUGAGAGGGUGAUCGGCCACACUGUGACGGAGCCACGGCCCAGACUCCUACGGGAGGCAGCAGUAGGGAAUCUUCGGCAAUGGACGAAAGUCUGACCGAGCAACGCCGCGUGAGUGAAGAAGGUUUUCGGAUCGUAAAACUCUGUUGUUAGGGAAGAACAAGGACGUUAGUAACUGAACGUCCCCUGACGGUAUCUAACCAGAAAGACACGGCUAACUACGUG
rnacentral:rRNA from 1 species